AGCUUGAGUGACUUUAGUUUCGAAGCAAGAUGAGACAUUUCCAUAAUGUACUCCCUAAUGUUUCCCUUGCCCUUAUACCUCAUGGAAACAAGUUUACAUAAUAGUGUACUUGUUUCCGCCUUUUCGUUUUGCAUAAAACGCUGUUCAAGGUUUGCAAGGAAAACUUUGGCAUUAGGUUCACCAUUCAUAGUGCCCCUGAAUGAUUCUGGAAUUGCACGCUUCAUGAUCAUUAGACUCAUGCGAUUCGCGCGUUCCCACUUCUCCAUCACCCUCCUUUCAUCAGGAGAGGAUGUAUCCUCAAGAGGAGUAGGUUGCUCGGUCCGAAGAGCAAGGUCAAGAUCCAUGNNNNNN
rnacentral:lncRNA from 1 species